UACGGAGGGUGCAAGCGUUGUCCAGAUUUAUUGGGUUUAAAGGGUGCGUAGGCGGCCCGUUAAGUCAGUGGUGAAAGCCUCCAGCUCAACUGGAGAACUGCCAUUGAUACUGACGGGCUUGAGUACAGACGAGGUUGGCGGAAUUGAUUGUGUAGCGGUGAAAUGCAUAGAUACAAUCAAGAACUCCGAUUGCGUAGGCAGCUAACUAGGCUGUAACUGACGCUGAGGCACGAAAGCGUGGGGAGCGAACAGG
rnacentral:rRNA from 1 species